rnacentral:rRNA from 1 species
GCUAUACUGCAGUCGAGCGGACAGAUAGGAGCUUGCUCCUUUGACGUUGCGGCGGAGGGGUGAGUAACACGUGGGCAACCUGCCCCUUAGACUGGGAUAACUCCGGGAAACCGGAGCUAAUACCGGAUAAUCCCUUUCUCCACCUGGAGAGAGGGUGAAAGAUGGCUUCGGCUAUCACUAAGGGAUGGGCCCGCGGCGCAAUAGCUAGUUGGUAAGGUAACGGCUUACCAGGGCAACGAUGCGUACCCCACCUGAGAGGGUGAUCGGCCACACUGGGACUGAGACACGGCCCAGACUCCUACGGGAGGCAGCAGUGGGGAAUCUUCCGCAGUGGACGAAAGUCUGACAGAGCAACGCCGCGUGAGUGAGGAAGGCCUUCGGGUCGUAAAGCUCUUUUGUGAGGGAAGAAGCGGUACCGUUCGAAUAGGGCGGUACCUUGACGGUACCUCACCAAAAAGCCACGGCUAACUACGUGCCAGCAGCCGCGGUAAUACAUAGGUGGCAAGCGUUGUCCGGAAUUAUUGGGCGUAAAGCGCGCGCAGGCGGCUUCUUAAGUCUGAUGUGAAAUCUCGGGGCUCACCCCCGAGCGGCCAUUGGAAACUGGAGAGCUUGAGUGCAAAAGAAGAGAGUGGAAUUCCACGUGUAGCGGUGAAAUGCGUAGAGAUGUGGAGGAACACCAGUGGCGAAGGCGACUCUCUGGUCUGUAACUGACGCUGAGGCGCGAAAGCGUGGGGAGCACACAAGAUUAUAUACCCUGGUAGUCCACGCCGUAAACGAUGAGUGCUAGGUGUUAGGGGUUUCUAUGCCCGUAGUGCCGAAUUAACACAUUAAGCACUCCGCCUGGGGAGUACGGCCGCAGGGCUGACACUCAAAGAGAAUUUGACGGGAGACCCGCACAAGCAGUGGAGCAUGUGGUUAUUAUUUCAAAAGCAACGCGAAGAACUCUAUACCAGUGUCUUGACAUCCUUUGCACCACCCAAAGAUAUUGGCGUCUUCCCUCNUCGGGGGCAAAGUGACAGGUGGUGCAUGUGUUGUCGUCAUCUCGUGUCGUGANAUUNUUNNNUNNGUCCCGACAACGAGCGCCA